rnacentral:rRNA from 1 species
CCUACGGGUGGCAGCAGUGAGGAAUAUUGGUCAAUGGCCGAGAGGCUGAACCAGCCAAGUCGCGUGAGGGAAGACGGCCCUACGGGUUGUAAACCUCUUUUGUCGGGGAGCAAAAGACGCCACGUGUGGCGUUCCGAGAGUACCCGAAGAAAAAGCAUCGGCUAACUCCGUGCCAGCAGCCGCGGUAAUACGGAGGAUGCGAGCGUUAUCCGGAUUUAUUGGGUUUAAAGGGUGCGUAGGCGGAUUGAUAAGUUAGGGGUGAAAUGUGCGGGCUUAACCCGGGAGCUGCCUCUAAUACUGUUGAUCUAGAGAGCAGAUGCGGUAGGCGGAAUGUAUGGUGUAGCGGUGAAAUGCUUAGAGAUCAUACAGAACACCGAUUGCGAAGGCAGCUUACCAAUCUAUAUCUGACGUUGAGGCACGAAAGCGUGGGGAGCGAACAGGAUUAGAUACCCUAGUAGUC